rnacentral:rRNA from 1 species
AGAGUUARAWCCKGGCUCAGGACGAACGCUGGCGGCGUGCCUAAUACAUGCAAGUCGAGCGGACAGAUGGGAGCUUGCUCCCUGAAGUCAGCGGCGGACGGGUGAGUAACACGUGGGCAACCUGCCUGUAAGACUGGGAUAACUUCGGGAAACCGGAGCUAAUACCGGAUAACACCGAGGACCUCAUGGUCCUUGGUUGAAAGAUGGCUUCGGCUAUCACUUACAGAUGGGCCCGCGGCGCAUUAGCUAGUUGGUGAGGUAACGGCUCACCAAGGCGACGAUGCGUAGCCGACCUGAGAGGGUGAUCGGCCACACUGGGACUGAGACACGGCCCAGACUCCUACGGGAGGCAGCAGUAGGGAAUCUUCCGCAAUGGACGAAAGUCUGACGGAGCAACGCCGCGUGAGCGAUGAAGGCCUUCGGGUCGUAAAGCUCUGUUGUUAGGGAAGAACAAGUACCGUUCGAAUAGGGCGGUACCUUGACGGUACCUAACCAGAAAGCCACGGCUAACUACGUGCCAGCAGCCGCGGUAAUACGUAGGUGGCAAGCGUUGUCCGGAAUUAUUGGGCGUAAAGCGCGCGCAGGCGGUUCCUUAAGUCUGAUGUGAAAGCCCACGGCUCAACCGUGGAGGGUCAUUGGAAACUGGGGAACUUGAGUGCAGAAGAGGAAAGCGGAAUUCCACGUGUAGCGGUGAAAUGCGUAGAGAUGUGGAGGAACACCAGUGGCGAAGGCGGCUUUCUGGUCUGUAACUGACGCUGAGGCGCGAAAGCGUGGGGAGCAAACAGGAUUAGAUACCCUGGUAGUCCACGCCGUAAACGAUGAGUGCUAAGUGUUAGGGGGUUUCCGCCCCUUAGUGCUGCAGCUAACGCAUUAAGCACUCCGCCUGGGGAGUACGGCCGCAAGGCUGAAACUCAAAGGAAUUGACGGGGGCCCGCACAAGCGGUGGAGCAUGUGGGUUAAUUCGAAGCAACGCGGAGAACCCUUACCAGGUCUUGACAUCCUCUGACACUCUAGAGAUAGAGCGUCCCCUUCGGGGGACAGAGUGACAGUGAUGCAUGUUUGUCGUCAGCUCGUGUCGUGAGAUGUUGGGUAAGUUCCCCCGCCAAACMGAGRGCGYUCUC